CCGCCAGGGGGGCCCUCAAUGUGCAAAACAACGUGUUUUUAAAUGGUUCGUUGAACUGUUAGCGAAAAAUUCCUACAGUAUAAAGCGGCUCUUCCUGUUACUGGUACGGAUUAUUGUAAUGGAAACCUAUUAAAAAAAUUACCAAUGAUAAUCCAGUACUUAAUGUUUCUGUAGCGCAGAAAAGAAGAGUGAGAUAAGCGAUCUCAAAACACAGUCUAUUUACAGUCUACUCGAUGGUGAGCUGAGGGAGAGGCCAGCUUUAAAGGGAUGUGUCAAAACGUACUUAAAAACAGGGCAAAGGGGACCAUGCCAUCAAUUACAAGUCUUUGCGGUGGUGUACAGUGAAUGUAUGGUUUUCUACACUUGUCAACCAUCUGAUGCAAUGCUGGGGGAAGGCUGAACCCAAUGGACUUUUUCGGGAUCAAGAGUGAAACACAAACAGGAGCUACUGUAUGGGAAAGCACAUUUAGAACUGAGAACAGGAAGCUUUGAUGUACACAAAGGUGUGUGGGAGACUGGAACAAUCUACUGUACCUAGCCACAUUGUUGAUGUUGAAACCCUGGCUUCUUGGUAGAAAUGAAAGGAUAAGCUCUUUGGGUCAACCAAAUGAGCUAGAAGUAAGUAAAGGCUCUUACUGUGCUGUGUGUGCUUCUGUUUCUGCCUGAUUCAGCUAUGGCUCAGAAGCUGCUAUUAAAGAUUAGGCAGCCAUGUUUGAAUAAAUGUAAGUUGGGUAGCCCAAUUUACCCACACAUACAUGUGGGUAGUGGAAAUGAGUAAUUCAAAUAGAGCCAGUCUCAGUAUUAUUUCUUGAGAGCCUUUCUAGACUACAGUAAAUGUACUUAAUUUGAGCAGCAGUUCUUUCUAAAGCUAAAGAAUCAAUCCCUCAGUCAAAAAAAACCCAUUACCAAAUCCAAGAAUUUACUGAAGGACAAUGAGGGGAAGGAUUAAGCUUUUAAAAAAGCAAUUUCUUGUGAAAUGUUUGAAGCAUUCAGGCAACGCAACAGAUUAUAGAGUAUAUUUGUUCCCUUUUCAAUUGCUUUCAGUGUUUUCUGAGUAGAGUAUACAAUAUUUUAUUCCUUAGUCAGCUUAAUCAACAGUCAGGGGGGUAUAUUCAUUUAAUUAGGUGGGGAAUAAGAGCUUGAUGCCAUAAAAGACUAAAAAGUAUAAUGUCUCUUUACAGACUGAACUGUUUUAUUGAAUUGCAUUCUGCCAA